UCUUGCCAGUAUUAUAUACUUAUAUUAAAGAUUAAGCCAUGCAAAUGUUAGAUCGAAUUUUUUAACUUUUAAUCUGUUGAUGGCUCAAUACAAGAGUUAUUUACUCUUCGUUUGCCAGCACAGCUAAGGAUAACGUAGCCAACAGCAGCGAUAAUACUCGAAUAAAUAGGGUGCAAAAACACCUUAAUGAUAGGAGAAGUAGAUUUAAGCCUAUCACAACCAAACUAUUUUGCUUUGAUACCGUUAAAAGUUGAGAGGUAAAAUAUUGGAUGUUGACCGAUUUGUAUACGGAUACGGAGAAUUAGAGUUUGAUACCGGAGAGGGCGCUUGAGGAUUGGCGACCACGUCUAAGGAUGGCAGCAGGCGCGAAAAUUGUCCAAUAUUGACUUAAUGAGACAGUGACGAUAAAUAACGACCUUUAACUUUUCGUUAAAGGGUAUCCUUUGGGUUUGUAAUGGUUGUACAUUAAAAUUCUACAAGAGUAACGAUUGGAGGAAAAGUCUGGUGCCAGCACCCGCGGUAAUUCCAGCUCCAAUAGCGUAUUCUAAAAUUGUUGCAGUUAAAACGCUCGUAGUUUGACUAAAAAUACAAAUGUGUGAGCAGUGUCAAAUGCGGCUAUCUUUUUAUGAUUCAGUUCGUUUAAAGAAGCUGUGCCCAAGGCAAAAAUUUUGACAUUUUUAGAUCACGCCAAACUUACUGUAGCUUGCUACUUUAGGCUGUGUGUUAUCGCUUACAUAAUGAAGUAUUUGCUGUUUCCAACUGUGAGUAAAUCAAAGUGCUUAAAACAAGCUAACUAUUUAUAGUGUAGCAUGAAUGGUUUAGCAUGGUAUUGGAUUAAUAUUUUCUUCAAAUAUUAAAAGAGAACUAGGCAGAGGGUUUUUGCAUUGUAUUGUUAGAGGUGAAAUUCAGAGAUCGAUACAAGACUCACAAAUGCGAAGGCAGUUAUACCCAUGACAUUUCUAUCAAUCAGGAACGAAAGUUGGGGGAUCGAAGAUGAUUAGAUACCGUCGUAGUCCUAACCGUAAACUAUACCGACAGGAGAUUGGAAGACGAACCCUUUCUCCAGAUCCUUUCAGCAUUCAAGGGAAACCGAAAGUUUUUAGGUUCUGGGGGGAGUAUGGUCGCAAGGCUGAAACUUAAAAGAAUUGACGGAAGAACACAACCAGGAGUGGAAUUUGCGGC
rnacentral:rRNA from 1 species